UACGAAGGGGAGCUAGCGUUGUUCGGAAUCACUGGGCGUAAAGCGCACGUAGGCGGAUGUGUCAGUCAGGGGUGAAAUCCCGGAGCUCAACUUCGGAACUGCCCUUGAUACAGCACGUCUUGAGUCCGGAAGAGGUGGGUGGAAUUCCUAGUGUAGAGGUGAAAUUCGUAGAUAUUAGGAAGAACACCGGUGGCGAAGGCGGCCCACUGGUCCGGUACUGACGCUGAGGUGCGAAAGCGUGGGGAGGCAAACAGGA
rnacentral:rRNA from 1 species